rnacentral:rRNA from 1 species
GAUGAACGCUGGCGGCGUGCCUAAUACAUGCAAGUCGAGCGAACAGACGAGGAGCUUGCUCCUUUGACGUUAGCGGCGGACGGGUGAGUAACACGUGGAUAACCUACCUAUAAGACUGGGAUAACUUCGGGAAACCGGAGCUAAUACCGGAUAACAUGUUGAACCGCAUGGUUCAACAGUGAAAGACGGUCUUGCUGUCACUUAUAGAUGGAUCCGCGCCGCAUUAUCUAGUUGGUAAGGUAACGGCUUACCAAGGCAACGAUGCGUAGCCGACCUGAGAGGGUGAUCGGCCACACUGGAACUGAGACACGGUCCAGACUCCUACGGGAGGCAGCAGUAGGGAAUCUUCCGCAAUGGGCGAAAGCCUGACGGAGCAACGCCGCGUGAGUGAAGAAGGUCUUCGGAUCGUAAAACUCUGUUAUUAGGGAAGAACAAAUGUGUAAGUAACUAUGCACGUCUUGACGGUACCUAAUCAGAAAGCCACGGCUAACUACGUG